GCCAGGAUGGCGGAGUGGUCUAACGCGCUGGUCUUGAGAACCAGUUCCUUCGGGAAGCACAGGUUCGAAUCCUGUUCCUGGCG
rnacentral:tRNA from 1 species